UACAGAGGGGGCAAGCGUUGUUCGGAAUUACUGGGCGUAAAGGGCGCGUAGGCGGCCUGCUAAGUCGAACGUGAAAUCCCCGGGCUCAACCCGGGAACUGCGUCCGAUACUGGCAGGCUUGAAUCCGGGAGAGGGAUGUGGAAUUCCAGGUGUAGCGGUGAAAUGCGUAGAUAUCUGGAGGAACACCGGUGGCGAAGGCGGCAUCCUGGACCGGCAUUGACGCUGAGGCGCGAAAUCCAGGGGAGCAAACGGG
rnacentral:rRNA from 1 species